AAAUUGAAGAGUUUGAUCAUGGCUCAGAUUGAACGCUGGCGGCAGGCCUAACACAUGCAAGUCGAACGGUAACAGGAAGCAGCUUGCUGUUUCGCUGACGAGUGGCGGACGGGUGAGUAAU
rnacentral:rRNA from 1 species